rnacentral:rRNA from 1 species
GAUGAACGCUAGCGGCAGGCCUAAUACAUGCAAGUCGAACGGAUAUAUGUUUUUCGGAAUAUAUAUUAGUGGCGCACGGGUGAGUAACACGUACAUAACUUGCCCUCCAAGCGGGGGAGUAGCCUUGGGAAACUGAGAGUAAUACCCCAUAGAAUUAUUGGACGGCAUCGUUUGAUAAUUAAAACUACGGUGCUUGGGGAUAGAUGUGCGUCUGACUAGCUAGUUGGUGAGGUAACUGCUCACCAAGGCGACGAUCAGUAGGGGGCGUGAGAGCGUGGCCCCCCACACGGGUACUGAGACACGGACCCGACUCCUACGGGAGGCAGCAGUAAGGAAUAUUGGUCAAUGGAGGGAACUCUGAACCAGCCAUGCCGCGUGAAGGAUGACGGCCCUCUGGGUUGUAAACUUCUUUUGGAUGGGGCGAAAAAACGGGAUUUAUCCUGGACUGACGGUACCAUCAGAAUAAGCACCGGCUAACUCCGUGCCAGCAGCCGCGGU